rnacentral:rRNA from 1 species
UGGAAACUNUCUGACUUGAGUGCAGAAGGGGAGAGUGGAAUNCCAUGUGUAGCGGUGAAAUGCGUAGAUAUAUGGAGGAACACCAGUGGCGAAAGCGGCUCUCUGGUCUGUCACUGACGCUGAGGCUNGAAAGCGUGGGUAGCGAACAGGAUUAGAUACCCUGGUAGUCCACGCCGUAAACGAUGAGUGCUAGGUGUUAGGCCCUCUCCGGGGCUUAGUGCCGGAGCUAACGCAAUAAGCACUCCGCCUGGGGAGUACGACCGCAAGGUUGAAACUCAAAGGAAUUGACGGGGGCCCGCACAAGCGGUGGAGCAUGUGGUUUAAUUCGAAGCAACGCGAAGAACCUUACCAGGUCUUGACAUCCCGAUGCUAUUCUUAGAGAUAGGAAGUUACUUCGGUACAUCGGAGACAGGUGGUGCAUGGUUGUCGUCAGCUCGUGUCGUGAGAUGUUGGGUUAAGUCCCGCAACGAGCGCAACCCUUAUUGUUAGUUGCCAUCAUUAAGUUGGGCACUCUAGCGAGACUGCCGGUAAUAAACCGGAGGAAGGUGGGGAUGACGUCAAAUCAUCAUGCCCCUUAUGACCUGGGCUACACACGUGCUACAAUGGUCGGUACAACGAGUUGCGAGCCGGUGACGGCAAGCUAAUCUCUGAAAGCCGAUCUCAGUUCGGAUUGGAGGCUGCAACUCGCCUCCAUGAAGUCGGAAUCGCUAGUAAUCGCGGAUCAGCACGCCGCGGUGAAUACGUUCCCGGGCCUUGUACACACCGCCCGUCACACCACGAGAGUUUGUAACACCNGA